rnacentral:rRNA from 1 species
UGGGGAAUUUUGGACAAUGGGCGCAAGCCUGAUCCAGCAAUGCCGCGUGCAGGAUGAAGGCCUUCGGGUUGUAAACUGCUUUUGUACGGAGCGAAAAGGUCUGCCCUAAUACGGUGGGCUCAUGACGGUACUGUAAGAAUAAGCACCGGCUAACUACGUGCCAGCAGCCGCGGUAAUACGUAGGGUGCAAGCGUUAAUCGGAAUUACUGGGCGUAAAGCGUGCGCAGGCGGUUAUGCAAGACAGAGGUGAAAUCCCCGGGCUCAACCUGGGAACUGCCUUUGUGACUGUAUAGCUAGAGUACGGUAGAAGGGGGUGGAAUUCCGCGUGUAGCAGUGAAAUGCGUAGAUAUGCGGAGGAACACCGAUGGCGAAGGCAAUCCCCUGGACCUGUACUGACGCUCAUGCACGAAAGCGUGGGGAGCAAACA